UACAGGGGGUGCAAACGUUGCUCGGAAUCAUUGGGCGUAAAGCGCACGUAGGCGGUUCGUUAUGUCGGAUGUGAAAGCCCUUGGCUUAACCGAGGAAGCGCAUCCGAAACUGGCGAGCUAGAGUACGAAAGAGGGUCGCGGAAUUCCCGGUGUAGAGGUGAAAUUCGUAGAUAUCGGGAGGAACACCAGUGGCGAAGGCGGCGACCUGGGCAGAUACUGACACUGAGGUGCGAAAGCGUGGGGAGCAAACAGG
rnacentral:rRNA from 1 species